rnacentral:rRNA from 1 species
CCUACGGGAGGCAGCAGUGAGGAAUAUUGGUCAAUGGCCGGAAGGCUGAACCAGCCAUGCCGCGUGAAGGUCAGUGCCCUAUGGGCGUUAAACUUCUUUUGUGCGGGAGCAAUAAUGGUCACGUGUGGCCAGACGAGAGUACCGUACGAAUAAGCAUCGGCUAACUCCGUGCCAGCAGCCGCGGUAAUACGGGGGAUGCAAGCGUUAUCCGGAUUUAUUGGGUUUAAAGGGUGCGUAGGCUGUGAGGUAAGUCAGCGGUGAAAUGCCCCCGCUCAACGGGGUGAAGUGCCAUUGAUACUGCCUGGCUGGAAUGCGGAUGCCGGGGGAGGAAUGUGUGGUGGAGCGGUGAAAUGCAUAGAUAUCACACAGAACACCGAUUGCGAAGGCAUCUCACGAAUCCGCGAUUGACGCUGAUGCACGAAAGCGUGGGUAUCAAACAGGAUUAGAUACCCGAGUAGUC